rnacentral:rRNA from 1 species
AGUGAACGCUGGCGGUAGGCCUAGCACAUGCAAGUCGAACGGCAGCACAGUAAGAGCUUGCUCUUACGGGUGGCGAGUGGCGGACGGGUGAGGAAUACAUCGGAAUCUACUUUUUCGUGGGGGAUAACGUGGGGAAACUUACGCUAAUACCGCAUACGACCUACGGGUGAAAGCAGGGGAUCUUCGGACCUUUCGCGAUUGAAUGAGCCGAUGUCGGAUUAGCUAGUUGGCGGGGUAAAGGCCCACCAAGGCGACGAUCCGUAGCUGGUCUGAGAGGAUGAUCAGCCACACUGGAACUGAGACACGGUCCAGACUCCUACGGGAGGCAGCAGUGGGGAAUAUUGGACAAUAGGCGCAAGCCUGAUCCAGCCAUACCGCGUGGGUGAAGAAGGCCUUCGGGUUGUAAAGCCCUUUUGUUGGGAAAGAAAAGCAGCAGGUUAAUACCCCGCUGUUCUGACGGUACCCAAAGAAUAAGCACCGGCUAACUUCGUG